GAUGAACGCUGGCGGCGUGCCUAAUACAUGCAAGUCGAGCGAACGGACGAGAAACUUGCUUUUCUGAUGUUAGCGGCGGACGGGUGAGUAACACGUGGAUAACCUACCUAUAAGACUGGGAUAACUUCGGGAAACCGGAGCUAAUACCGGAUAAUAUUUUGAACCGCAUGGUUCAAAAGUGAAAGACGGUCUUGCUGUCACUUAUAGAUGGAUCCGCGCUGCAUUAGCUAGUUGGUAAGGUAACGGCUUACCAAGGCAACGAUGCAUAGCCGACCUGAGAGGGUGAUCGGCCACACUGGAACUGAGACACGGUCCAGACUCCUACGGGAGGCAGCAGUAGGGAAUCUUCCGCAAUGGGCGAAAGCCUGACGAAGCAACGCCGCGUGAGUGAUGAAGGUCUUCGGAUCGUAAAACUCUGUUAUUAGGGAAGAACAUAUGUGUAAGUAACUGUGCACAUCUUGACGGUACCUAAUCAGAAAGCCACGGCUAACUACGUG
rnacentral:rRNA from 1 species